rnacentral:rRNA from 1 species
UACGUAGGGGGCGAGCGUUGUCCGGAAUUACUGGGCGUAAAGGGUGCGUAGGCGGCGAUGCAAGUCCAUUGUGAAAAGCCCGGGCUUAACCUGGGAGGUGCAGUGGAAACUGCAUGGCUUGAGUGCAGGAGAGGAAAGUGGAAUUCCUAGUGUAGCGGUGAAAUGCGUAGAUAUUAGGAGGAACACCAGUGGCGAAGGCGGCUUUCUGGACUGUAACUGACGCUGAGGCACGAAAGCGUGGGGAGCAAACAGGAUUAGAUACCCUGGUAGUCCACGCCGUAAACGAUGGAUACUAGGUGUAGGGGGUAUCGACCCCCCCUGUGCCGAAGUUAACACAUUAAGUAUCCCGCCUGGGGAGUACGGCCGCAAGGUUGAA